CUGCGGAGGGACAUUACAAGAACGCCCGGGCUUCGGCCUGGUUAUUCAUAACCCUUUGUUGUCCGACUCUGUUGCCUCCGGGGCGACCCUGCCUUCGGGCGGGGGCUCCGGGUGGACACUUCAAACUCUUGCGUAACUUUGCAGUCUGAGUAAACUUAAUUAAUAAAUUAAAACUUUUAACAACGGAUCUCUUGGUUCUGGCAUCGAUGAAGAACGCAGCGAAAUGCGAUAAGUAAUGUGAAUUGCAGAAUUCAGUGAAUCAUCGAAUCUUUGAACGCACAUUGCGCCCCCUGGUAUUCCGGGGGGCAUGCCUGUUCGAGCGUCAUUUCACCACUCAAGCCUCGCUUGGUAUUGGGCAACGCGGUCCGCCGCGUGCCUCAAAUCGUCCGGCUGGGUCUUCUGUCCCCUAAGCGUUGUGGAAACUAUUCGCUAAAGGGUGUUCGGGAGGCUACGCCGUAAAACAACCCCAUUUCUAAGGUUGACCUCGGAUCAGGUAGGGAUACCCGCUGAACUUAAGCAUAUCA
rnacentral:rRNA from 1 species